CGGGCAGCAGUUCCAGAGCAGGGUCUGCUGGCAGGUUGUAGUAUCAAAUUAUUUCUUUUCUCACAUCAGACUUAAGGAGCAGUACUCUUCCCCAGCUCUACCUGAGCCAGCAGUCAUAGCAAUCCUUGUCUCUGUUGUGAUCGUGGUGGCUGUUGUAGCUGCCAUCACACAUACCUGUCAGAGGAGGAAAAUGAGAAGUCUUGUGCCAUCGAUGCAGGAGUCCGAGCAUGAACAGGCUUUGAGGUUCAUCGAGGAGAAAGAGGAUCAAACAACUGUUCCUGUGCAAGAAGCUGGUGCUGACCCUGAAGAAACCAAGCCUGAAUCAGAGAGUCUUGUUUGAUCCAUGGCAGAAAAUGGGGAUGGUUAAAAACAACCAAGCACAAAACAUUUUUUCUACAUAUGCAUGAGUGACUGUCAUCUUUCCUUCCCCCAUGGACAGCUGACACUUGGUACACAUUGAUUAUUUCUUUAUUGCUUGUUGUUGGGAAAAAGUGGGGAUUUUUCCAUUUUAAUCAUUCCAUAUAACUCAUACGUAACAGAGUGUACAAAUGUAUUUCGAAAAGAUUUUUCAUUUUAAGGAGUCAAGAAGAUAUUGCUGAGAAAAGCAAUUGUGCACACCAUGGCGCAUAUAUGUUUUAAUAAAGAAAGUUAAUAUCUGAUCUGA